CCCAGCAGGACUUCAUUUCAAAUUACUCCUUGUGGACAAAGAGAAGAAAUGGAGCUUGAGAAGUUUCACUUGCUGCGAUAGGAAGACAUCUAGGCGUGCGUUGGGUGUGGCUUGAUUUCCUUUUACGGCUGCAGCCCCGUUUCUCAUCACCUGCCCCUCACAUUCUCUUUUCUGGCCUGUUCCGCAGUGGGCAGGUCUAUGCAAACCUACUCCCAAAGUCCGAGGAAGCCAAGAGGCUGAAGAAAGGAGCUGAUGUAUCCAGUUUCUCAGAAAGAAACAUGAAUAGGGACUUAGGAACAGGAGCCCGUCAGCGUCUCAGAUUUCCCUUCUCCAGAGGCAAAUGCAAUCCUGACAAUUAGUUAUUGACGGGACAAAUACAUCCUGCAGGCAAAGGCGACGUGGAGUUAUCGUUAUUUUGGACAGGGCCAAACUGAUAAGGGGGCUCUCUCCUCAGAAGACUGUCUCUGUGUUUGGAAGUUCACAGUCCACUCUAUGGGAUUAAACAGAAGGAGAAUAAAUUAUCCUUGCUUUA